AGAUGUUAAAAAGUAGGCCUGGGCAAACGGUUUGGACCGAAGAAAACCGAACCGACCGAACCGAAUUUUUCGGUUUCGGUUUUCCUUCACUUCAAAAUAGAAAACCGAUCGGCUGAUUGUUAAAUUUAGAUCGGUUAUCUAAUCGGUUCGGUUCGGCACACGGUAACCGAUCGGUUAACCGCAAACCAAGAGACCUCUAACCCUAAGACUCUUAUCUCUCUCCCUCGCAGCCUCUCAUUUUUUUCUCUCACGACUUCACUCUCCUUCUCUCACGAUUUCGAAGGAGAAAAAAAAGAGAAACACCAAAUCUCUUCUUAAUCUUCGAUCUCCCUCAUUCAUCUCUAACCUCUGUUUCUUGUAACUCGAUUCUUAAAUUUUCAAAGCCCCAGAUCGAUUCGAAGGAAACUAUCAAAUCGACUCGAACCUAAACCAUCAAAGUCUCGAAAUUGUAAGAUGUCUUCUGAAGAUCACAUCGACAUGGACUCUGAGCCAAUUCCUCAAGAAUCUGCUGGCACUGGAAACAAAAGGAAAAGGGCUACAACAUCCAGUUCUUCCGCUUUGCCACCGAAACCGAAGAAGAAAAUGCCUAAAAGAGCAGAGGUGUGGCAGCACUUUACUCAGACAGAUGAUGAUCUCACGAAGAGCACUUGUAAGUAUUGUUUAACAGAAAUUGGUUGUGAUACGGUACUAGUAGGAACUAGUCCGAUGAAGAGUCACUUAAAGAGGUGUAAGGCAUUCAAGGAUUUUGUUGAAAGGGGGAAGCAACAAGUGUUAAGUAGUGAUAAUAGUGGUAAUAUGAAGUUUGUGAAGUAUGAUCCUUUGCAGUUUAGGAGAUUAGUUAAUCAGUUAGUGGUAGUCAAUGAGUUAUCAUUCUCAUUUGUUGAAUCAGAGGGAUGGAGGCAGUUUUGUGCUGAUAUCUUGCCUCUUUACCAGACAUUCUCCAGAAGGACGUGUGGUAGAGAUAUUGUUGCAAUGUAUCUGGAAGAGAAAGCUAAAUUGAAGACUUUGUUUAGUGUUGAGAAGAAGAGAGUUUCUCUAACCACAGAUAUAUGGGUGUCUCCUAGAACCUCAUACAACUACAUGGUGGUCACGGGUCAUUGGAUUGAUGUUAAUUGGAAAAUGCAGAAGAGAAUCUUGAGCUUUAAGGUAAUCACUGACCACAAAGGAGACACGAUUUCAAAGUUUCUGCUUGACACCUUAGAUGAUUAGGGAAUAGAGAAGGUUUUUACUGUGACUGUUGACAAUGCAAAGGGUAAUGACAAGGCUCUUAGGGUAUUUAGGGAUGAAUUGAGGUGGAGAGGAGGUGAAUCUUUAGUGGCAGAUGGUGAUCUCAUUCAUAUGAGAUGUUGUGCACACAUUCUGAAUCUAAUUGUUGGGGAUGGUCUUAAAAAGGCUAACAAAAGUAUAGUUGCUGUAAGGAAUGCAGUGAAGUAUGUGCGCAGUUCAUAUACAAGGUUGAAGUCAUUUGUUUUGAAGUUGGAGACAGGAAAGAUAGCUAGAGGCAGCUUGCCUUUAGAUUGUGUUACAAGGUGGAAUUCAACAUAUCUUAUGUUGAGUUCUGCCCUUAAGUUAAAGAUUGGAUUUGAGAAGUUGUCUUCCGAGGACAAGCUUUACUGUGAAUAUUUCGAUGAAGAAGAUGAUGCUGAUGAUGAGAAUAGUAAGACAAAGAGAGUUGGACCACCUACCUCUAUUGAUUGGGAUGAAGUUCAAAGGUUAGUAACAUUUCUGAAGAUCUUUUACAAGAGUACUGCCACGUUUUCUGCUUCUAAAUCAGUAACUUCCACAAUCUGUUACAAAGAGAUUGUGAACAUUGAGAAGCAUUUGAUCACCAAGUGAGGCAACGCUAGUAAAGAUAUUAGGGAUCAAGCUCAUCUGAUGAGGGAUAAAUUUGAGAAAUACUGGGAUGGUUUGUUGAAUAUGAAUUUGCUGGUGAUCAUUGCAUCUAUCUUUGAUCCACGAAAUAAGAUGCAAUUUGCUUCUCUGUGCUUUGAGCAGCUGUAUGGUAAAGGGACUAUAGAGACUAGGCAGCUAGAAGCUUCUGUUUCUAGUGUAUUAAAAAAGUUGUAUGACGAAUAUAGUUUACGACUUAGCCCAACAGAUGAUGGAGCUGGAAACAGAAGUGAUCAUGGAGAUUCUGAGCAGCCAAGUGUAGCAUGUGGUAUGUCAGAUGAUGAGGAUGAUUAUGUGGGGGUUGAUGUCCUUUAUGACAAUAUGGUAGACCAAAGGAGAUCAGAAGAGUGUUUUAGUGAGUUAGAUAUAUACUUGGCAGAGAAAACUGAGUUGAAAGUGGACAACAGCUUGGGGUUGCCUUAUGAUGUUUUAGAUUGGUGGAGGUGUAAUACGUCAAAGUUCCCCAUAUUAUCUCAACUUGCUAGUGAUGUUCUAGCAAUUCAAGUAUCCUCUGUGGCUUCAGAAUAUGCUUUUAGCACUAGUGGGAGAGUAUUAGAUCCUUAUAGGAGUUCUUUAACUCCGUAUAUGAUCGAGGUUUUGCUAUGUCUGCAACAAUGGUUGCGGUGUUCUUAUCAGUCUCAAGCAAAUGUUGCAAACUUGGUGCAAAUGCUGGAAGAAGAGAAUUUUCUUGACUCGCUUGAUUCUUGGAAUUCAAUAGCACCUUCUCAGUGAUCUUCAUCUUGGAAUGAAAUGGAAUGUAUGCAUCGUUGUUUCUUGCCUUGAUAGGAACCAGAAUUUGAAGCCUUGCGCUUGGUAUUUUGCUAUUUUCAGAAGUUGCACUUAUGACUCUCCUCUUUAUUUCAAUCAGACCUUAAUUUGGAUGUUUUGGGUUAUGUUAUGCUUCUCUUAUGAACUUUUACUGCUUAGACUUGAAGUAGAAACUGGUUUGUAAUAUUAUUAUCGUUUUUUGUUGCA